rnacentral:rRNA from 1 species
UACAGAGGUGGCAAGCGUUGUUCGGAAUUACUGGGCGUAAAGGGCGCGUAGGCGGGAUGGCAAGUCGGUCGUGAAAUCCCUCGGCUCAACCGAGGAACGUCGAUCGAUACUGCUGUUCUUGAGGAUUGCAGAGGAGACUGGAAUUCCCGGUGUAGCGGUGAAAUGCGUAGAUAUCCGGAGGAAUACCAGUGGCGAAGGCGCUGGGCUGGACGGCUAUUGACGCUGAGGUGCGAAAGCGUGGGGAGCAAACAGG